GCCGGCGCUGGGAGGAGUGGAGGGAGGAGAGACGGAUGUCUCGAACCUCGGCUUCUUGCGCUUCUCGGAAAUCUCCGUCUCGUCGGCGACGAACCUGAAGCGCCGGAUUUGCAUCCGGCGCAGCCGGGCUGAGCGAGGGCUGACCUCGCUGACCACGGCGGUCGCCGCGGUGGCGCCGGUGACUGCUCCGCAGCAGAUCUCAGCCAUUGAUUUUUU
rnacentral:misc_RNA from 1 species